rnacentral:misc_RNA from 1 species
GUGAAUCAUCAAAUCUUUGAACGCAAAUUGCGCUCGCUCGGAUUUUUUCAGGGAGCAUGCCUGUUUGAGGGUCAGUUUAAAUAAAAAUCGGUGUUUGUGCUUCCUGUCGUGGUGACGCGCCGGAUUGGGGUCGUCGUGCCUUCGUUGAAGUGACCUAGAAUCUUGCAUUAUUUUGUUCGAACAUAUUUAAAUGAGUUUACGUACGUUGGCGAUAUCGAAUACUAGGUGUUGUCAUCCUCAUGAUUCGCGUCUAUAA